CCUUAUCUUAUGUUGCCAGCGCGUUAUGGCGGGGACUCGUGAGAGACUGCCGGGGUCAACUCGGAGGAAGGUGGGGACGACGUCAAGUCAUCAUGCCCCUUAUGUCCAGGGCUUCACACAUGCUACAAUGGCCGGUACAGAGGGCUGCGAUACCGUGAGGUGGAGCGAAUCCCUUAAAGCCGGUNUCAGUUCGGAUCGGGGUCUGCAACUCGACCCCGUGAAGUUGGAGUCGCUAGUAAUCGCAGAUCAGCAACGCUGCGGUGAAUACGUUCCCGGGCCUUGUACACACCGCCCGUCACGUCAUGAAAGUCGGUAACACCCGAAGCCGGUGGCCUAACCCUCUGGGAGGGAGCCGUCGAAGGUGGGAUCGGCGAUUGGGACGAAGUCGUAACAAGGUAGCCGUACCGGAAGUG
rnacentral:rRNA from 1 species